rnacentral:lncRNA from 1 species
ACAGAGAAGAGGAAGCGGCAGCAGCCCCAGCGCCGACCAGCAGGGGGCACAGGACAGAGAAGAGGAAGCGGCAGCAGCCCCAGCGCCGACCAGCAGGGGGCACAGGACAGAGAAGAGGAAGCCGCAGCAGCCCCAGCGCCGACCAGCAGGGGGCACAGGACAGAGAAGAGGAAGCCGCAGCAGCUCCAGCGCCGACCAGCAGGGGGCACAGGACAGAGAAGAGGAAGCGGCUGCAGCCCCAGCGCCGACCAGCAGCGGGCACAGGACAGAGAAGAGGAAGCCGCAGCAGCCCCAGUGCCGACCAGCAGCGGGCACAGGACAGAGAAGAGGAAGCGGCUGCAGCCCCAGCGCCGACCAGCAGCGGGCACAGGACAGAGAAGAGGAAGCCACAGCAGCCCCAGUGCCGACCAGCAGGGGCACAGGACAGAGAAGAGGAAGCCGCAGCAGCCCCAGCGCCGACCACAGCGGGCACAGGACAGAGAAGAGGAAGUGAGGAAAUGGAAGAAGAGGGUUGA